UACGUAGGGGGCAAGCGUUGUCCGGAUUUAUUGGGCGUAAAGAGCGUGUAGGCGGUUUGGUAGGUCCGUUGUGAAAACUCGAGGCUCAACCUCGAGACGCCGAUGGAAACCAUCAGACUAGAGUCCGGAAGAGGAGAGUGGAAUUCCUGGUGUAGCGGUGAAAUGCGCAGAUAUCAGGAAGAACACCCGUGGCUAAGGCGGCUCUCUAGUACGGUACUGACGCUGAGACGCGAAAAGCGUGGGGAGGCGAACAGG
rnacentral:rRNA from 1 species